rfam:Ovis aries breed Texel chromosome 4, whole genome shotgun sequence.
UAGCUCAGAUGGUAAAGAACCUGCCUGCAAUACAGGAGACCUGGGUUCGAUUCCCAG